GCGGAAGUAGCUCAGGGGUAGAGCAUCGCCUUGCCAAGGCGAGGGUCGCGGGUUCGAAUCCCGUCUUCCGCU
rnacentral:tRNA from 1 species